UACGUAGGGGGCAAGCGUUGUCCGGAUUUAUUGGGCGUAAAGAGCGUGUAGGCGGCCAUGUAGGUCCGUUGUGAAAACUCGAGGCUCAACCUCGAGACGCCGAUGGAAACCAUGUGGCUAGAGUCCGGAAGAGGAGAGUGGAAUUCCUGGUGUAGCGGUGAAAUGCGCAGAUAUCAGGAAGAACACCCGUGGCUAAGGCGGCUCUCUAGUACGGUACUGACGCUGAGACACGAAAGCGUGGGUAGCAAACAGG
rnacentral:rRNA from 1 species